rnacentral:rRNA from 1 species
CCCUGACUCCUACGGGAGGCAGCAGUAGGGAAUCUUCCGCAAUGGACGAAAGUCUGACGGAGCAACGCCGCGUGAGUGAUGAAGGUUUUCGGAUCGUAAAGCUCUGUUGUUAGGGAAGAACAAGUACCGUUCGAAUAGGGCGGUACCUUGACGGUACCUAACCAGAAAGCCACGGCUAACUACGUGCCAGCAGCCGCGGUAAUACGUAGGUGGCAAGCGUUGUCCGGAAUUAUUGGGCGUAAAGGGCUCGCAGGCGGUUUCUUAAGUCUGAUGUGAAAGCCCCCGGCUCAACCGGGGAGGGUCAUUGGAAACUGGGGAACUUGAGUGCAGAAGAGGAGAGUGGAAUUCCACGUGUAGCGGUGAAAUGCGUAGAGAUGUGGAGGAACACCAGUGGCGAAGGCGACUCUCUGGUCUGUAACUGACGCUGAGGAGCGAAAGCGUGGGGAGCGAACAGGAUUAGAUACCCUGGUAGUC